rnacentral:rRNA from 1 species
UACGUAGGGACCAAGCGUUGUUCGGAUUUACUGGGCGUAAAGGGCGCGUAGGCGGCGCGGUAAGUCACUUGUGAAAUCUCUGAGCUUAACUCAGAACGGCCAAGUGAUACUGCAGUGCUAGAGUGCAGAAAGGGCAAUCGGAAUUCUUGGUGUAGCGGUGAAAUGCGUAGAUAUCGGGAGGAACACCAGUGGCGAAGGCGGCGCUCUGGACCGAGACUGACGCUGAGGCGCGAAAGCGUGGGGAGCAAACAGG